AUACGUAGGGUGCGAGCGUUAAUCGGAAUUACUGGGCGUAAAGCGUGCGCAGGUGGUUUUGUAAGUCAGAUGUGAAAUCCCCGGGCUUAACCUGGGAACUGCGUUUGAAACUGCAAGGCUAGAGUGUGGCAGAGGGGGGUGGAAUUCCGCGUGUAGCAGUGAAAUGCGUAGAGAUGUGGAGGAACACCGAUGGCGAAGGCAGCCCCCUGGGUCAACACUGACGCUCAGGCACGAAAGCAUGGGGAGCAAACAGGAUUAAAUACCCCGGUAGUCC
rnacentral:rRNA from 1 species